rnacentral:lncRNA from 1 species
UUAUGAGUAAAUUCUGUUAGGGUCUGCUAUUUAUAUGGUUCACUAAUCACAAUGCUAAUCCACAUUAGGCUUGGUUAAUUAAAAUUAGUGAGUUAUGAAGUGGAUUGCAAAAAUGCCAAAGUGAGCUUGCAUGGCCAUGUAGCACGUACCAAAUCUCAUGCAAUGCUUGGAUUUCACUUAAAAACAAUCAAUAUUCAUCAUGGAAAGGUUAAUUUGCU